UACAGAGGUGGCAAGCGUUGUUCGGAAUUACUGGGCGUAAAGGGCGCGUAGGCGGCCUACUAAGUCAGACGUGAAAUCCCCCGGCUUAACCUGGGAACUGCGUCUGAUACUGGGUGACUUGAGUUCGGGAGAGGAAUGUGGAAUUCCAGGUGUAGCGGUGAAAUGCGUAGAUAUCUGGAGGAACACCGGUGGCGAAGGCGGCAUUCUGGACCGAAACUGACGCUGAGGCGCGAAAGCCAGGGGAGCAAACGGG
rnacentral:rRNA from 1 species